UACGUAGGUGGCAAGCGUUGUCCGGAUUUAUUGGGCGUAAAGCGCGCGCAGGCGGUCCUUUAAGUCUGAUGUGAAAGCCCACGGCUCAACCGUGGAGGGUCAUUGGAAACUGGGGGACUUGAGUGCAGAAGAGGAAAGUGGAAUUCCACGUGUAGCGGUGAAAUGCGUAGAGAUGUGGAGGGACACCAGUGGCGAAGGCGACUUUCUGGUCUGUAACUGACGCUGAGGCGCGAAAGCGUGGGGAGCAAACAGG
rnacentral:rRNA from 1 species